CGAGGAGGAACGAACGCUUUGUGACUUCUUUGCUCCUGAGCUGCGCCUUUCUCGAGUCUAGUCUCGAAGGCGUUCCAUGCUGCCCGUGGUGAGCGGGUAGUCCAAGCACGCUGUGCGGCGCCCUACGAAACUCAGGGCAGCGUGUGCUCAGAGGCCAUAUGGGUGUACCUCAGGGGCCUCGUUGACUUGGCGUUUGUUUGGUGCCGGCCCGGUCAGUGCCGUGCAGCUCUCCUGGCUGGAUCAGUGACUUCCCUCUUGGGAGCCCGGUCUGGUGGGUGUGGGGGCUGUUUUAGGAGCUGGUGGUGAGUUUGCGGGUGCAGAGGGACAGAGGGAGAGAGGACCUUCAGCAGGCUCCACCCAGAGCAGGCUGCCUCCCAAGGGCCUUGAUCUCACCAGCCUGAGCUCCUGACCCCAGCUCACAACAAUAGUCAGACGUUUCCCGGACGGCGUCACCGCCCUUCUUGACCAUCAUUCCUCUUUUCUUUGGGCGCAGGAACCACUCUAGGUCCUCGGAGUGAACCUUCUGGGACAGGUGUUGGCGGGAGUCCGGUUGCCACGACCCUGGAAGCUGGCAGCGUGGGCAGGACCGCAGGGGGCCCCGGCUUCACCAGUCCUGGGCGCGUAGCAGGGGGAACCGGCAGCCCGACUGCAAGUGCCAGAGGAGGUAAAGAAGGCAGCACCCCCAUGGCCCCUAGCCCGGGAGGGACCAGGCUGCGUUCCCGAGAGCAGUCAGGAGAGACCUUUGAGGCCCUAGGAAAUGGCCCUGAGCGGGACCCACGUCGCGCUCCAGACUGAGCUGCUGAUUGUAGGCCUUGGAGAUGAGCUAGCUAGCUGUGGCCAUGCUAGGAGUCCCUCCGCGACCCUUUGAGGCUAGGAAGCUCCCUGCUGUCCUCCGCGCCAAGGGAGUGGUCUGCGGGAAUCUGCUGCCACCCUGGAGGUCAAAGCCUUUCCCCGCUGUCGUGGCAGGGACCCCAGGAGGUUCCGAGGGCUUGACAGCAGCACCCGGCAGUGAGAGCACACGUGGAGACUCCGGCGCCCCAGGCACGACCUCGGCAGGCAGAGCAGGAACCACUCUAGGUCCUCGGAGUGAACCUUCUGGGACAGGUGUUGGCGGGAGUCCGGUUGCCACGACCCUGGAAGCUGGCAGCGUGGGCAGGACCGCAGGGGGCCCCGGCUUCACCAGUCCUGGGCGCGUAGCAGGGGGAACCGGCAGCCCGACCGCAAGUGCCAGAGGAGGGACCCCAGGAGGUUCCGAGGGCUUCACAGCAGCACCCGGCAGUGAGAGCACAGGUGGACACUCCGGCGCCCCAGGCACGACCUGGCAGGCAGAGCAGGUAUGCCAAGUCGGGAGCUUCUCCUUUGCACCUCGGGCAAGCGGCCAGUGGCUAAUGCCAGGAGGGAGUCGCUCCUGGUCUGUGGGAGGGCCCGUCCUCAUGAGCCGACUACCCAUGUGUUUGGGGCCAUCAGGGCAGCGUGUCUGUCGCAUUGUCUCUGACGUGAGUAGCUUGCCACUCACUCACUCCUUUGGAGAAGUCUCACGGAAAAGUGUUCUCCAACCACCAUCCCUAUGGAUCCUGUGC
rnacentral:lncRNA from 12 species